AUUUCUUCCUCCAGCAAAACUUUCAGUCCGCGACACCACGGCGAAUCAAUCAGUUGGCCAUCACAACUGCAUCAGCCGGCUUUCUAUUCAUCGAUUCUGCUCUUUUCCCAGCGUCGCCGCGUCGCUCACCAUUUGCGACAGGCUUGCUGCGAUCCUUUACCAUUCCAUCAGCGCACCGAACGACAACCGCCGAUCUGAGCCGAACGUGACCUGCGACGACGCUUCACGAUACCACAGCGAAAACCGACACAUUAUCAAUCCAUCUAACGCGUGACGGCGUCCCAUCAUUCUGCCAUCAUUCGAAUAUCACCAGUCCGCCCUCAUUUUGCUUUUGCUUCGCAUACUGACAAGUUUCGAAACUCGAUAUUUUCUGGCUGUUGGCUCGCUGGGCUGGCCUGGAAGGUGAUCUGAGUCUCUGGCUGUGGCGCAAUUGAUUUGAUAUCUGGGACGGGAUACAAGUGCGAGUCUUCCAACAGUACCAUCCAUCCCCUUUGAACGGGUUGUUGCAGUCUCGCUGGGUCUUUGUACUUUCCUUCUCUUCAUCUGUCACUUUGUGUCUCUUCCUACGAGUACAUUCAGAAUUGACUCAGUCUAACUUCUGCAAAUCCAAGAGCAAGAAAAACAGGGGAACAAGGAAACGAGCCUAAUAUUUUUGUUGAAAGGGGAGAAAUUCGCUACCAGCUGAGACAUUGCAGAAAUCAUUCUACAAGCCCCAGCCCCCAACUCGUAUCAUACGUCAACAUCGUUUAGGAGAGUCUUCUAAUAGUACAGUGUUUGCCUUGGGCGCGGCGUCA